GACCGCGUGAGGGAGGAAGGCUCUUGGGUUGUAAACCUCUUUUCUCAGGGAAGAAGCUCUGACGGUACCUGAGGAAUCAGCCUCGGCUAACUCCGUGCCAGCAGCCGCGGUAAUACGGAGGAGGCAAGCGUUAUCCGGAAUUAUUGGGCGUAAAGCGUCCGCAGGUGGCGAUUCAAGUCUGCUGUCAAAGCACGGGGCUUAACUCCGUUAAGGCAGUGGAAACUGAAUAGCUAGAGUGCCGUAGGGGUAGAGGGAAUUCCCGGUGUAGCGGUGAAAUGCGUAGAUAUCGGGAAGAACACCAGUGGCGAAGGCGCUCUACUGGGCCGCAACUGACGCUGAGGGACGAAAGCUAGGGGAGCGAAAGGGAUUAGAUACCCCUGUAGUC
rnacentral:rRNA from 1 species